AUAUUAUUUAUUAAAAAAAAUCUGUUUCUAUCAGUUUAAUAUCUAUACGUCCCCCAUCGGGGACUAACAUAUUAAAUGAUUUUUCGAACAGGGAGUCGGAAAUGGGGCUUGCUCCCGUCCGCUCCACGCAUCGACCCGGUUUGCAGUACCUCCGGGACGGUGCAACACUU
rnacentral:snRNA from 1 species